CCUACGGGAGGCAGCAGUGAGGAAUAUUGGUCAAUGGACGAGAGUCUGAACCAGCCAAGUAGCGUGAAGGAUGACUGCCCUAUGGGUUGUAAACUUCUUUUAUAUGGGAAUAAAAUGUUCCACGUGUGGGAUUUUGUAUGUACCAUAUGAAUAAGGAUCGGCUAACUCCGUGCCAGCAGCCGCGGUAAUACGGAGGAUCCGAGCGUUAUCCGGAUUUAUUGGGUUUAAAGGGAGCGUAGGUGGAUUGUUAAGUCAGUUGUGAAAGUUUGCGGCUCAACCGGAAAAUUGCAGUUGAAACUGGCAGUCUUGAGUACAGUAGAGGUGGGCGGAAUUCGUGGUGUAGCGGUGAAAUGCUUAGAUAUCACGAAGAACUCCGAUGGCGAAGGCAGUUCACUGGACUGCAACUGACACUGAGGCUCGAAAGUGUGGGUAUCAAACAGGAUUAGAUACCCCUGUAGUC
rnacentral:rRNA from 1 species